rnacentral:rRNA from 1 species
AGAAUUUGAUCUUGGUUCAGACUGAACGCUGACGGCGUGGAUGAGACAUGCAAGUCGAACGAGUGGUGGAGCAAUCCAUCACCAGUGGCGUAAGGGUUAGUAAUGUAUGGGUUAUUUGCCUCGAACCUGGGGAUAACGAUUGGAAACGAUCGCUAAUACCGAAUGUGAUAGGGGAUGGAAACGUCCUUUUAUUAAAGUUGGGGACUCCGAAAGGAGCCUUGCGGUUUGAGAGAAGCCCAUAAAGUAUCAGCUAGUUGGUAGGGUAAUGGCCUACCAAGGCAAAGACGCUUAGGCGGAUUGAGAGAUUGACCGCCAACACUGGGACUGAGACACUGCCCAGACUCCUACGGGAGGCAGCAGUCGAGAAUAUUUCGCAAUGGGCGAAAGCCUGACGAAGCGACGCCGUGUGAAUGAAGAAGGCCUUCGGGUCGUAAAGUUCUGUCGUCUGUGAACAAGGAUAUGGUGGGAAUACUGCCGUAUCUUGAGAGUAAUAGAGAAGGAAGCACCGGCUAACUCCGUGCCAGCAGCUGCGGUAAUACGGAGGGUGCAAGCGUUAGUCGGAAUUACUGGGCGUAAAGGGUGCGUAGGCGGAUAAAUAAGUCGAAUGUGAAAUUCCAAGGCUCAACCUUGGAGCUGCAAGCGAAACUAUUUAUCUAGCGGAAUGGCGGAGAAAACGGAAUUCCACAUGUGGCGGUGAAAUGCGUAGAUAUGUGGAAGAACACCUGUGGCGAAAGCGGUUUUCUAGCCUACUCCAGACGCUGAGGCACGAAAGCAAGGGGAGCAAACAGGAUUAGAUACCCUGGUAGUCCUUGCCUUAAACGAUGCAUACUUGACGUAAUCGGACUCAACCCCGGUUGUGUCGAAGCUAACGCGAUAAGUAUGCCGCCUGGGGAGUACACUCGCAAGGGUGAAACUCAAAAGAAUUGACGGGGACCCGCACAAGCAGUGGAACAUGUGGUUCAAUUCGAUGCCACGCGAAGAACCUUACCUGGGUUUGACAUGCAAUUGGCGAUGGCAGAAAUGUCAUUUUCCCGCAAGGGACAAUUGCACAGGUGCUGCAUGGCUGUCGUCAGCUCGUGCCGUGAGGUGUUGGGUUAAGUCCCGCAACGAGCGCAACCCUUGUCGUUAGUUGCCAGCGCGUAAUGGCGGGCCCUCUAACGAGACUGCCUGGGUUAACCAGGAGGAAGGUGAGGAUGACGUCAAGUCCGCAUGGCCUUUAUGCCCAGGGCCACACACGUGUUACAAUGGCUAGUACAGAAGGCAGCAAUACCGCGAGGUGGAGCAAAUCCUAAAAACUAGCCCCAGUUCAGAUUGGAGUCUGCAACUCGACUCCAUGAAGAUGGAAUUGCUAGUAAUGGCGAGUCAGCUACAUCGCCGUGAAUACGUUCCCGGGUCUUGUACACACCGCCCGUCAAGUCAUGGGAGUUGGUUUUACCCGAAGUCGUUAACCCAACCGCAAGGAGGGAGACGCCGAAGGUGAGGCCGAUGACUGGGACUAAGUCGGAACAAGGUA